GCCCGUGUGGCCUAAUGGCUAAGGCGUCUGACUGUAAGUUGGUCAAGUACCCGCGUUCGAAUCGUGCUAAUAAGAAAAAUAGUCUAAGAAGAUUAUCAGAAGAUUCGGAGUUCGACCCUCCGCAUGGGCU
rnacentral:tRNA from 3 species